rnacentral:rRNA from 1 species
UACAUAGGGAGCGAGCGUUAUCCGGAUUUACUGGGUGUAAAGGGUGCGUAGGCGGUCAAGCAAGUCAGAAGUGAGAUGUAUGGGCUCAACCCAUGAACUGCUUUUGAAACUGUUUGACUUGAGUGAAGUAGAGGCAGGCGGAAUUCCCUGUGUAGCGGUGAAAUGCGUAGAGAUAGGGAGGAACACCAGUGGCGAAGGCGGCCUGCUGGGCUUUAACAGACGCUGAGGCACGAAAGCGUGGGUAGCAAAC